AAAAUGUUGGCAAACAAUUCAACGUCGGUGAGUACAGGCAGAGGCAACAAUAGUUUUCAAAAUCGAAACUCGCAGAGAUCCACCCUCUUAAAAGUGGUGAUUCUUGGAGAUGGUGGUGUUGGAAAGUCCUGUCUUAUGAAUAGAUUCGUGUCGAAUCAUUUCGACGAACACAGUUUUCAUACCAUCGGAGUAGAGUUCCUGAACAAGGAUAUUGAGAUCAAUGGCGAGGCAUAUACGUUGCAAAUAUGGGACACAGCCGGACAGGAGAGAUUUAAGACUCUCAGAACACCAUUUUAUAGAGGCUCAGACAUUUGUCUGCUUACUUAUGCAGUAGACGAUAAGACGAGUUUUAGAAAUCUCGCGCUAUGGAGAUCUGAAUUUCUUAAGUAUGCAGAUGUUCAGGAGGGUUCUACUUUUCCAUUUAUUGUUGUUGGCAAUAAGGUAGAUGUUCCUGAAUCCGAGAAACAAGUUUACAUGGAAGAAGCUCAAGCUUGGUGUUCAGAGAAUGGUAAUCCUCCAUUAGUUGAAACAUCAGCAAAAGACGCCACUAAUGUCGAGGCAGCUUUUGGGGCAGCGGUUGACGCAUGGGCGCGAUUGGAAGCUAGAUUAGAGCGGCCUUUAGUGGAAGACACUGUCGAUCUCUCUAAACAGCAGUCCCAGCAUCGUACGAGCUGCUGCAUGUCUAUUUCCGGCACGGAAUCUACAUUUGUGACCAGAUAAUUGAAAUGGCUGGUAAGAAGAUUGACACAAUAUACAGUCUUUAUGUGAUGCACACCAACAUUUCUGGAACAAUCGUUUAAAGUUUUCUUUAUGUUUGGAAGAGGGAUACACAACGUCGCACUAUUAAACUCGUAGAAACGAUGCUUACUCUAUUUAGGAUCUAUAAGGAUACAUGUUACACAGUAGAACUGUCUAACAAAGUAAUUUGAAGAGAAUCUCUUGCCUCUGUCUACAAUACUCUCUUCAUUAUAUGGUGAACUUUCUUUAUUGACACUGGAAUUGCAUCAGUUGUGUAUACAUGGGAUAUUGUUUAAAAUUUUUUAUUUAGAAAACCAAUUAGAAUCUCCAAAAAAUAUAUGGAUCGCAUAAGAUAUUAUUAGCAAUGAAUAUGCGAUUUCUUUAUUGGCUGGCUUAUAUUCUUUUUCUUAUGAAUCUUAACAAAAUACUCGAGCCACAAAAAUCGUAUAUAUGACAAAUAAUAUAUUGUGAUUGAUCUUUCCAGAAUAUAACCUAAGAUAUAAGAUCAGAUUAAACGUCCUUAUUCUAUCAACGCUUUGUGCAGCUUUUAAGCUACUGACAGUAUUUUAAGUGUUUAAUACACUAUUGGCUUGUGAUAAAGUACUAACGAUGAUAAUAAUAAUAAUACAUAUAAAUUAUUACAUAAGAGAUAGACGUAAAUUAUAAUUUUAAUCUAAAUUUGCCUUAUUCUCGCGAUAUGCACCUGAUAAUAAAAGCAGUAAAACAACGUGAUUUUUAUUUAAGAGAUCUUGCUAUGAAUUUAUAUUGCCCAUAUUUAUAUGCGAAUUUGAUGUUUGUACAAAAUGCAAUAGCAUAUGCUUGUCUGGUCUUGAAAUAUUCUGCAUUCAAUGUCUAACGAUUUUCCUACAAAAUUAACAUUAUGAAAGUAAAGCUUUUUGUAACGAUAGCGGAUGUAUACGAUGCGUUUCUACAUUUCACAUAUCUUAUUCAGAUGGUACUUGAGUCAUUAAAAAUGCCAGUACAAGAAAAAAGUAUGUACUAAUGAUUUCUCAAUGACAUAAUUCGAUUAAUUGCGUAUGAAAUAUGCAUGCUGGUGCUUUUUAUAUAUGGCUAUGAUUGUGAUCAAAAUCUUGUUACAAAAAGCUUUGAAGUGAGUUUGAUUGAUAAAAAAAAAAAGAACUUUACGAAUUGACCAAUCAAAAAACGCUUUAAAGUAUUUGUAACAUCACGUUGAUCGUACUCUAUAUAUGGAAUAUAUAAAUUUAUGAUACAGCAUAGAAUGAUAAUACUAGUUAAGAUGUUAAGCGUAUAAAACUAAUCAUAUCAAGGUGACGACCACCUCAUUAUUACCAUAAAUUAGGUAUUCUUACGCCAAAUCUUUAUACAAAAUCUAUGAAUUAUUUUUAAAGGAUACACUGCUGCAUAUAUAUAUAAAAAUCUUAUUUGUGAACAAGGC
rnacentral:misc_RNA from 1 species